AGCGCACCUUCGGGUGAGCGGCGGACGGGUUAGUAACGCGUGGGAAUAUACCCUUCACUACGGAAUAGCCUCGGGAAACUGAGAGUAAUACCGUAUACGCCCUUUGGGGGAAAGAUUUAUCGGUGAAGGAUUAGCCCGCGUCUGAUUAGAUAGUUGGUGGGGUAAUGGCCUACCAAGUCUACGAUCAGUAGCUGGUUUGAGAGGAUGAUCAGCAACACUGGGACUGAGACACGGCCCAGACUCCUACGGGAGGCAGCAGUGGGGAAUCUUAGACAAUGGGCGCAAGCCUGAUCUAGCCAUGCCGCGUGAGUGACGAAGGCCUUAGGGUCGUAAAGCUCUUUCGCCAGGGAUGAUAAUGACAGUACCUGGUAAAGAAACCCCGGCUAACUCCGUGCCAGCAGCCGCGGUAAUACGGAGGGGGUUAGCGUUGUUCGGAAUUACUGGGCGUAAAGCGCGCGUAGGCGGAUUGGAAAGUUGGGGGUGAAAUCCCAGGGCUCAACCCUGGAACUGCCUCCAAAACUAUCAGUCUAGAGUUCGAGAGAGGUGAGUGGAAUUCCGAGUGUAGAGGUGAAAUUCGUAGAUAUUCGGAGGAACACCAGUGGCGAAGGCG
rnacentral:rRNA from 1 species